CAGGAAUUUCUGUUUUCCCCUCCGCGGGGCUGGAAGAAAAAACAAUAAUUAGGGUGACUCUGACGAUUAAAGACGCAUAUUUUUGAUCCCAUGAGGACCCUAAACGCAAGCCAGCGACUUUAUCUGGUGCUCAACUGAAGAUAUAGCCACAUUUUCCCACAUUGGAGGAAGACUGUUUUGGACUUACUGAGAGGUACUAAGUCCGGGUACUGUACCUAUGAGUGACUGAAGACAUUUUCAAGGGGUCGUCUGGACUUAGCACAUUUAUCUCCUUCACUCCGACCUUAAGACAACCCCCACUGUGAAGGACAGGAUGCCAGGACAGGGGCACCUGCCUGAGUCAUUUGGAGGAUGAGCCGUGAGACUGGGAAGGUGGACAGCAUCGGGAUAGGGAGAACUGAUGGUAAAGUGAAGGCUGAAACCAGCCCCUAGUGGCAAAGCAUGGAAACAGAAAACUUCACAGCAGAGACCAUCCUUUCACUUCCCGUCGACAUCCUACUGGAAGUUUCCUUAAUAAAAAUAUUCCCAC
rnacentral:lncRNA from 1 species